AGACGUAGGGGGCUAGCGUUGCCCGGAUUCACUGGGCGUAAAGCGCGCGUAGGCGGUUCGGCAAGUCGCCCGUGAAAGCCCCUGGCUCAACUGGGGGAGGUCGGGCGAUACUGCCGGGCUAGAGGGCGGCAGAGGGAGGUGGAACGGCCGGAGUAGCGGUGAAAUGCGUAGAUACCGGCCGGAAUCCCGAUGGCGAAGGCAACCUCCUGGGCCGUUCCUGACGCUGAGGCGCGAAAGCUGGGGGAGCGAACCGGAUUAGAAACCCCAGUAGUCC
rnacentral:rRNA from 1 species